GGGAACGGUAUUGUGUCUCCAGUUGCGUUCGUUUAUGGAGCGUUUCUAGUUGUGCUAUGCGGUUGGUGAGUUCAUUUAGGCGUUGUUGUGCUUCUUUCUUUUUUCGAGAUGCUAUUCUUAUGAAGUGCCCCCUGAGCACAGUCUUGUGUGCUUCCCAUAGCGUCACCUGCGAUAUAUCCCCUGUGUUGUUCUCGUUAAAGUAGUUGGUGAGAUGUUCCGCUAAUUGCGUCUGUACCUCCAAGUCGGAUAGGAGUGACUCAUUCAUUCUCCAUGCUGUCCGUGCGGGCUUGAACAUGGGGGAGUCUAGGAGCAUGGUCACAGCACUAUGGUCUGACCACGUAGUGGUGUGUAUCUCUGCUUUCUGGAGUCUUUGCAAACCCUCUUGUUGAAUGAGGAGGUAGUCGAUGCGGGAGUAUCUCCUGUGGAUAGAGGAAUAGUGUGUGUAGUCUCGGUCCGUUGGAUGCAGGGCUCUCCAUGCGUCCACCAAUCUCAGGUCUCUGAGAGAUUUCCG